AAGUCGUAACAAGGUUUCCGUAGGUGAACCUGCGGAAGGAUCAUUAACACGUUUUUUUAAACCAAAACGUACUAAAACUCUGUGAACGAGAUUUCCAAAUAUUUAAUCUCCUAUGGGAUUAUAUUUGGGUUCAUAAAUCUCACCAUUUUUUUUAAUCAUAUCACCAACCCCUAAAACUGCGUAUUUGUGUUAAUAUGAUUGGGAAGUAAAAUUCCCUUCAUAUUAUUUACUUUUGCGUAUGUUUGUAACUAAACUUUUUUUCAUUUCAUGCCUAAAAAACAUGAAAGCAAAAAGAUGAUAUUAUCUUCGGAUAUAUCUUAUCUUUUUAUGAACCAUAAACUGUUGUACAACUCUUAGCAACGGAUAUCUUGGUUCCC
rnacentral:misc_RNA from 1 species